rnacentral:rRNA from 1 species
GGAAACCGAGUCUUAAUUGGGCGUUAAGUUGCAGGGUAUAGACCCGAAACCCGGUGAUCUAGCCAUGGGCAGGUUGAAGGUUGGGUAACACUAACUGGAGGACCGAACCGACUAAUGUUGAAAAAUUAGCGGAUGACCUGUGGCUGGGGGUGAAAGGCCAAUCAAACCGGGAGAUAGCUGGUUCUCCCCGAAAGCUAUUUAGGUAGCGCCUCGUGAAUUCAUCUCCGGGGGUAGAGCACUGUUUCGGCUAGGGGGCCAUCCCGGCUUACCAACCCGAUGCAAACUGCGAAUACCGGAGAAUGUUAUCACGGGAGACACACGGCGGGUGCUAACGUCCGUCGUGAAGAGGGAAACAACCCAGACCGCCAGCUAAGGUCCCAAAGUCAUGGUUAAGUGGGAAACGAUGUGGGAAGGCCCAGACAGCCAGGAUGUUGGCUUAGAAGCAGCCAUCAUUUAAAGAAAGCGUAAUAGCUCACUGGUCGAGUCGGCCUGCGCGGAAGAUGUAACGGGGCUAAACCAUGCACCGAAGCUGCGGCAGCGAACGUAUCACCCAAGACAACUUUACGGAGUUGACGAUUGACGGAGCGAAGCGACGUCAAAGCGUUCAUUAAAGUCGAGUUGGCUUAGGGAUACGUUCGUUGGGUAGGGGAGCGUUCUGUAAGCCUGUGAAGGUGUGUCGUGAGGCAUGCUGGAGGUAUCAGAAGUGCGAAUGCUGACAUAAGUAACGAUAAAGCGGGUGAAAAGCCCGCUCGCCGGAAGACCAAGGGUUCCUGUCCAACGUUAAUCGGGGCAGGGUGAGUCGACCCCUAAGGCGAGGCCGAAAGGCGUAGUCGAUGGGAAACGGGUUAAUAUUCCCGUACUUGGUGUUACUGCGAAGGGGGGACGGAGAAGGCUAUGUUGGCCGGGCGACGGUUGUCCCGGUUUAAGCGUGUAGGUGUGUGUUCCAGGUAAAUCCGGUUCACUUUAACACUGAGGCGUGACGACGAGGCACUACGGUGCUGAAGCAACAAAUGCCCUGCUUCCAGGAAAAGCCUCUAAGCAUCAGGUAACACGAAAUCGUACCCCAAACCGACACAGGUGGUCAGGUAGAGAAUACCAAGGCGCUUGAGAGAACUCGGGUGAAGGAACUAGGCAAAAUGGUGCCGUAACUUCGGGAGAAGGCACGCUGACACGUAGGUGAAGUGAUUUACUCAUGGAGCUGAAGUCAGUCGAAGAUACCAGCUGGCUGCAACUGUUUAUUAAAAACACAGCACUGUGCAAACACGAAAGUGGACGUAUACGGUGUGACGCCUGCCCGGUGCCGGAAGGUUAAUUGAUGGGGUCAGCGUAAGCGAAGCUCCUGAUCGAAGCCCCGGUAAACGGCGGCCGUAACUAUAACGGUCCUAAGGUAGCGAAAUUCCUUGUCGGGUAAGUUCCGACCUGCACGAAUGGCGUAAUGAUGGCCAGGCUGUCUCCACCCGAGACUCAGUGAAAUUGAACUCGCUGUGAAGAUGCAGUGUACCCGCGGCAAGACGGAAAGACCCCGUGAACCUUUACUAUAGCUUGACACUGAACAUUGAGCCUUGAUGUGUAGGAUAGGUGGGAGGCUUUGAAGUGUGGACGCCAGUCUGCAUGGAGCCGACCUUGAAAUACCACCCUUUAAUGUUUGAUGUUCUAACGUGGACCCGUAAUCCGGGUUGCGGACAGUGUCUGGUGGGUAGUUUGACUGGGGCGGUCUCCUCCUAAAGAGUAACGGAGGAGCACGAAGGUUGGCUAAUCCUGGUCGGACAUCAGGAGGUUAGUGCAAUGGCAUAAGCCAGCUUGACUGCGAGCGUGACGGCGCGAGCAGGUGCGAAAGCAGGUCAUAGUGAUCCGGUGGUUCUGAAUGGAAGGGCCAUCGCUCAACGGAUAAAAGGUACUCCGGGGAUAACAGGCUGAUACCGCCCAAGAGUUCAUAUCGACGGCGGUGUUUGGCACCUCGAUGUCGGCUCAUCACAUCCUGGGGCUGAAGUAGGUCCCAAGGGUAUGGCUGUUCGCCAUUUAAAGUGGUACGCGAGCUGGGUUUAGAACGUCGUGAGACAGUUCGGUCCCUAUCUGCCGUGGGCGCUGGAGAACUGAGGGGGGCUGCUCCUAGUACGAGAGGACCGGAGUGGACGCAUCACUGGUGUUCGGGUUGUCAUGCCAAUGGCACUGCCCGGUAGCUAAAUGCGGAAGAGAUAAGUGCUGAAAGCAUCUAAGCACGAAACUUGCCCCGAGAUGAGUUCUCCCUGAGACUUAGAGUCUCCUGAAGGAACGUUGAAGACGACGACGUUGAUAGGCCGGGUGUGUAAGCGCAGCGAUGCGUUGAGCUAACCGGUACUAAUGAACCGUGAGGCUUAACCUUACA